rnacentral:rRNA from 1 species
AACGAACGCUGGCGGCAGGCUUAACACAUGCGAGUCGAACGCCCCGCAAGGGGAGUGGCAGACGGGUGAGUAACGCGUGGGAAUCUACCCAUCCCUACGGAAUAACGCAUGGAAACGUGUGCUAAUACCGUAUACGCCCUACGGGGGAAAGAUUUAUCGGGGAUGGAUGAGCCCGCGUUGGAUUAGCUAGUUGGUGGGGUAAAGGCCUACCAAGACGACGAUCCAUAGCUGGUCUGAGAGGAUGAUCAGCCACAUUGGGACUGAGACACGGCCCAAACUCCUACGGGAGGCAGCAGUGGGGAAUAUUGGACAAUGGGCGCAAGCCUGAUCCAGCCAUGCCGCGUGAGUGAUGAAGGCCUUAGGGUUGUAAAGCUCUUUCACCGGAGAAGAUAAUGACGGUAUCCGGAGAAGAAGCCCCGGCUAACUUCGUG